rnacentral:rRNA from 1 species
UACAGAGGUCUCAAGCGUUGUUCGGAUUCAUUGGGCGUAAAGGGUGCGUAGGUGGCGCUGUAAGUCGGGUGUGAAAUUUCGGAGCUUAACUCCGAAACUGCAUUCGAUACUGCGGUGCUUGAGGACUGGAGAGGAGACUGGAAUUCACGGUGUAGCAGUGAAAUGCGUAGAUAUCGAUGAGGAACACCAGAGGCGAAGGCGGCUACCUGGACAAUUGCUGACGCUCAGGCACGAAAGCGUGGGGAGCAAAAGGG